CACCGCCUGGGGAGUACGACCGCAAGGUUAAAACUCAAAUGAAUUGACGGGGACCCGCACAAGUAGUGGAGCAUGUGGUUUAAUUCGAAGAUACGCGCAGAACCUUACCAACACUUGACAUGUUCGUCGCGACUUUAAGAGAUUAAAGUUUUCGGUUCGGCCGGACGAAACACAGGUGCUGCAUGGCUGUCGUCAGCUCGUGUCGUGAGAUGUUGGGUUAAGUCCCGCAACGAGCGCAACCCUCACUUUUAGUUGCCAUCAUUUAGUUGGGCACUCUGAAAGAACUGCCAGUGAUAAGCUGGAGGAAGGUGGGGAUGACGUCAAGUCCUCAUGGCCCUUACGUGUUGGGCUACACACGUGCUACAAUGGUAUCUACAACAGGAAGCAAGACGGCGACGUUAAGCAAAUCCUUAAAAGAUACCUCAGUUCGGAUUGCACUCUGCAACUCGAGUGCAUGAAGCUGGAAUUACUAGUAAUCGUGGAUCAGCGUGCCACGGUGAAUGCGUUCCCGGGUCUUGUACACACCGCCCGUCACACCAUGGGAGUUGGUUCUACCUUAAGGCAAGGUUUAAAACCCUUGACCACGGUAUAGUCAGCGACUGGGGUGAAGUCGUAACAAGGUAGCCGUAGGGGAACCUGCGGCUGGAUUACCUCCUUUCUAAGGAUGAGUGAAAUUUUUUCACUCUAAAUAAUAUACAGGUAAUGUUGACCGUCCUCAUUUCUCUUCUUAAAGUUAGUGUUUCUCUUGCAUGGGGGCCGGUAGCUCAGUUGGUUAGAGCACACCCUUGAUAAGGGUGGGGUCGAAAGUUCGAGUCUUUCUCGGCCCACCAAUUUAAGAUCUUGGGGGAUUAGCUCAGCUGGGAGAGCGCCUGAUUUGCAUUCAGGAGGUCAGCGGUUCGAUCCCGCUAUCCUCCACCAAACACUUAGUUAUAAAAUAUCGUUAAAAUAAAUAAUUAAUAUCAAUAUCUAUAUCCGAACAUUAGUAGUGUUAUUAGCUAAUGUUCAAAAUAAAAAUUUGAUUCAACACAGAAUUUUUUUCUG
rnacentral:sRNA from 1 species